rnacentral:rRNA from 1 species
GCUGAAACUCGCCUAUAUGAAGUCGGAAUUGCUAGUAAUCGCGGAUCAGCAUGCCGCGGUGAAUACGUUCCCGGGCCUUGUACACACCGCCCGUCACACCAUGAGAGUCGAUAACACCCGAAGCCUGUAGUCUAACAGCAAUGAGGACGCAGUCGAAGGUGGGAUUGAUAAUUAGGGUGAAGUCGUAACAAGGUAAC